UUACACAAAUGAGACAUCUAGCGGAACCCGGAACUAGUCGCGCGUAGCGACUAUAAACUAAAGCUGGGUGUGACAUUUCUUGUUUGUUCUUCGCAUCUUGGUCAUACCCGUGGCGUGGUUCGAGCGAGUUCGAUUUCUGCCAAGGUUCACCGUUUUGUGCAGUUACGCCACGCUUACGUUACCCCGCUGUUCAGAACAGCCGGCUUUGAAGGGGACUGCUGUGCAUCGAAUGCAAUGAAGAAAGAUGCUGACAGGAUCGAGUGGCCUGAAGAGGCCAGCAGCUGCAUCAAGCCAUGACAGCCCCGUUGGAGGUUCCUCUCCUGUAAAUUUGUCACUGGCAGGGACAAGGGACGUCCAAAUUAUUGCAUCUGGUCAGCUCGACGCAAUCGACAUGGUUGGACCAGCCAUACAAAGCAUUGCGUCAGACACCAGUGUGGCUUCCAGCUGCACCUGUUUCGUUCCUCGUGCAUCUGUUGGUACAGACAGAUCCUGCAGACAUAGGCACACAAGAAGGCACUACAGCAGUGCCCUGCCCCAGCACUCCAGGUUCAAUUGCCGUCUCCAGUUUGAAGGACAACCCCCCAACUGCAGGCCCAGGACAUCCGUCCUCACAGUUCUGCU